UACGGGGGGAGCAAGCGUUGUUCGGAUUUACUGGGCGUAAAGGGCGCGUAGGCGGUCAGCACAAGUCAGUUGUGAAAUCUCCGGGCUUAACUCGGAAAGGUCAACUGAUACUGUGCGACUAGAGUGCGGGAAGGGCAACUGGAAUUCUUGGUGUAGCGGUGAAAUGCGUAGAUAUCGGGAGGAACACCAAUGGCGAAGGCAGCUCGCUGGGACGGUACUGACGCUGAGACGCGAAAGCGUGGGGAGCAACAGG
rnacentral:rRNA from 1 species